GAGUCUAAAGUCGGAGGGUCAUGGAGAGAGGUAAGGAAGGCUUCCAGGAGGAGGUAAUGCCCGAGGAUCUCCAGGAAGCUCCGGAGCAGGCAGGGCCUGUUUGAUGUCUCUGUGUGCUGCGUUGCCAUGGGGCCCGGCAGGCAGCCCUACGUGUGAGCUGGGGUGACCUACGGGGCGGCUGGGUCUAUCAGGGUCCCUUGACCCAGCGCCCCCAUCCCAGGCCUACAGGAGUCCCUAGACCAGCAUGUUCCUGCCUCAGGACCUUUGCACUGGCCGUUCCCUCCACCUUGGACUUUUCCUCCAGAUGUCUGCAAGGCACCUCCUUCACCUCCUACAAGUCUUUGUUCAAACAUCACCUCCACCUCCUGCAGCCUGUCCUGACCUGGUCCCCACCGGCUCCGUCCUCAUCUCCUUUACCCCCUUCUGCCCUCCCUUGGCA